GAUGAACGCUGGCGGCGUGCCUAAUACAUGCAAGUCGAGCGAACAGACGAGGAGCUUGCUCCUCUGACGUUAGCGGCGGACGGGUGAGUAACACGUGGAUAACCUCCCUAUAAGACUGGGAUAACUUCGGGAAACCGGAGCUAAUACCGGAUAAUAUAUUGAACCGCAUGGUUCAAUAGUGAAAGACGGUUUUGCUGUCACUUAUAGAUGGAUCCGCGCCGCAUUAGCUAGUUGGUAAGGUAACGGCUUACCAAGGCAACGAUGCGUAGCCAACCUGAGAGGGUGAUCGGCCACACUGGAACUGAGACACGGUCCAGACUCCUACGGGAGGCAGCAGUAGGGAAUCGUCCGCAAUGGGCGGAAGCUUGACGGAGCAACGCCGCGUGAGUGAUGAAGGUCUUCGGAUCGUAAAACUCUGUUAUUAGGGAAGAACAAAUGUGUAAGUAACUAUGCACGUCUUGACGGUACCUAAUCAGAAAGCCACGGCUAACUACGUG
rnacentral:rRNA from 1 species